GAAAAUCUCGGUGGCACUUAUCGUGGUGGGACGGCGCAUGGGCAGGAUGGUGUAACCAUCCGGCGAUAGCCACCCAUGCGCUAGAUGACAGGCUCCUCAAAGGAGCCUUUUUUUAUGCCCUGAA
rnacentral:sRNA from 1 species